CAGAGGCAUCAAAUGCAGCCUUUUCCUCCACCCAGUUCCAUAGUGCUGACAUUAUCUGGUGAAUGGUGUGUCGGAUGAGCAACUCUGAUUCAACUGCUAUCCCUGUGGCUAUGCUCCAGGUCGCAGAGAUUCUAUGUUGCACAGACUCAUGGUCAAACUGAAAAAAAAAAUGUCACACCAUACUUCAUACUCCAGGGUUACCACCCUUGUAGGUUUGGAAAAUCUUUGUUCACUUCAUUAUAAGACACUUUUGUAUACCUUCUAAACUGGAUUCUGGCAGCAAAGAGGAACAGAUUACAUAUUGUGAUACAGCAGAAAGGUCAUCAUUCAACUCUAGAAGCUGUUAGAAACCUGAGUAAGGAAAUAUAUUUCUCUAAGUCAGCAAAGGCUGACAGAUCAAUACCUGGUAGUGUCUCUGCUAGAAGAAACCUUGAAGCAGCUUUGCUGCAUCACUAUAUUGUUUGGUGAUUCAACUGAAGUCACAGACUGAAAAGCCAUCAUUAAAUAAAAGGAGCUGGAUAGGAAUGGCUCUUAAUCAUUGCAAUUAGCCAGUGCUGUUUUAGCUACAAAUGUUCUGAAGUGUGGCUUCACCUUGUAGAGACAUGAACUCCUUCUGAC